rnacentral:rRNA from 1 species
UUGCUCCCUGAUGUUAGCGGCGGACGGGUGAGUAACACGUGGGUAACCUGCCUGUAAGACUGGGAUAACUCCGGGAAACCGGGGCUAAUACCGGAUGGUUGUUUGAACCGCAUGGUUCAAACAUAAAAGGUGGCUUCGGCUACCACUUACAGAUGGACCCGCGGCGCAUUAGCUAGUUGGUGAGGUAAUGGCUCACCAAGGCAACGAUGCGUAGCCGACCUGAGAGGGUGAUCGGCCACACUGGGACUGAGACACGGCCCAGACUCCUACGGGAGGCAGCAGUAGGGAAUCUUCCGCAAUGGACGAAAGUCUGACGGAGCAACGCCGCGUGAGUGAUGAAGGUUUUCGGAUCGUAAAGCUCUGUUGUUAGGGAAGAACAAGUACCGUUCGAAUAGGGCGGUACCUUGACGGUACCUAACCAGAAAGCCACGGCUAACUACGUGCCAGCAGCCGCGGUAAUACGUAGGUGGCAAGCGUUGUCCGGAAUUAUUGGGCGUAAAGGGCUCGCAGGCGGUUUCUUAAGUCUGAUGUGAAAGCCCCCGGCUCAACCGGGGAGGGUCAUUGGAAACUGGGGAACUUGAGUGCAGAAGAGGAGAGUGGAAUUCCACGUGUAGCGGGUGAAAUGCGUAGAGAUGNGGAGGAACACCACUGGCG